rnacentral:lncRNA from 10 species
AAAAACACACACACGCUCGCUCGCUACUCCGCUCGCCGACUGGAGCGAGCGCAGCCGCCAGCCAGCGCCGCCUCCUGCAGCAGCCGCGGCGGCGGCGGCGCCUCAGUGCGCGCGCGCGAGGCCGCGGCGGCUGGCGGAGGGGGAGGAGGCGCGCGCGACGCGCGAGGCCCAGACUCGGCUGCUUCCGGCGCUCGGCGCGGGGCCGUGCGUCUCGCGCACGUCUCUGGCGCCGGCGCGCGCUCCCCGCUCCUCUCCGCGACGGCCGGGCGGAGGGAGCUGUUGAAGGGCACGCAGGCGGCUGCGGGGGCGGAGGGAGCUGAGGCCCCGUGAGGACACGCGCGGUGGUGGCGGUGGCGGCGGGCGCGCGGCCGCAGCCGGAGGAGGACGGCGGGAGCGUGCGAGGAGCUGGCUCGGUUAUUUCGGAGCGAGAGCCGAGGCCGGGGGAAGUUCCUGCGGAGUGCUCAAGGGCAGAAGAGGUGCCGCGUCCCGAAGAGGGGAAGCGGAGAAGUUUGCUGCUGCCCGGGUCGCCUCGCGACGCUGAGAGAAUCGCCCAGCCCUCCGCAGCCGCCCAGCGAGAACCGGAGCUGCGGCCCCGCACCGGCGUGAGUCCAGCUGAGCUGACACGCCGAGCCGGUUGUGCCUUUCCGAGGGAGGAAUGUGCCGUGGAAUCCAAACUUUGGAAAACGUCCCACCCGAAUUCCCAGCGAGCAGCAAGGAGACCAGAGCGUCGAUGGAGCCACCGUUAGUUGCGGGAGGGCUGUCCCCAAGAGGAAUUCAUCACUGUCGUCCGCUGGGAGGGACCAACCUUGAAAUGGGGUUGGUGGAGAGAGGGAUAGAGAAGAGCCGGCGUGCUUAUAAAUAACAAAACUUAGCUAUGAACCCUUCCGAUUCCCAAGUGGGGAAGAUGGGGUAAAAUUCUAAGUGACUUCUCGCUCCGAAGAGGGAUACCACAAAAAGCGGAGCGCAGGGUACUUGGCGUAUAAUAAGCCAUCAAUAAUUUAUGGGUGAAAUUGAGAGCCAAAUAUAAGAUGAUAAACUGAAGAAUAAAAACAGCUGACAAAUACUGUAUAGAAAAGAUUGCGUUGGAAUCAUAACUGUGGAUUGGAAGUGAUGUUAAGGAUUAUUGGAUUGAGUAUUUGUAGCUGAAUUUCUGCUGGCAUUUCUAUCAGUGGGGAAAGCCCUCACAGCUCCAUAGGUAAUUUUUGUUAGGGGAGGAAGAAGUGUUGUUCUGUCACCCACCCCCAGGCAAAGAGUCGCUGAUCUAAUUCUCCAUUUCUUUCUUUCUUUCCUUUCUUUCCUUCCUUCCUUCCUUCCUUCCUUCCUUCCUUCCUUCCUUCCUUCCCUCCCUCCCUUUCCUUUCCUUUCCUUUCCUUUCUUUCCUUUCUUUCUUUGAAACGGAGUUUCGUUCUUGUUGCCCGCGCUGGAGUGCAGUGCAGUGCUGUGAUCUCGGCUCAUUGCAACUUCCACCUCCCGGGUUCGAGGGAUCCUCCUGCCUCAGCCUCCCAAGUAGCUGGGAUUACAGGCGCACGCCACCGCACCCGGGUAAUUUUGUAUUUUUAAUAGAGACGGGGUUUCACCAUGUUGGCCAGGCUGUUUGAACUCCUGACCUCAAGUGAUCCGCCCGCCUCGGCCUCUCAAAGUGCUGGGAUUACAGGCGUGAGCCACCAAGUCCUGCCUAAUCUCCUUUUUAUAGUUGAGGAAAGCUAGUAACUUGACUGAAGUCUCAUAUAUUAGAGCUGUAACUGAAGUUUUUAAGUGUCUCAAUUCUGCAACUAUUCGUUUUUCUAUCACAUCACUGUUUGGCAUAUAUAUAGCGGGAAAAGGAAAGGCUGGAAAUUAGUUGACCACACACUGAUUAAGCUUGAAACAUAUUUCUACUGGAGAAAAAAAGGUACUGUAAUUUUGGCAUAGGCAUCACAUAUUGCUGGAGUGGAAAGACCCAUGCACUCAGGUCCUGCUUUCUAUAAUCUGUGACCUCGGGCCAGUCACUCCAUUUCUCCUGAACUAGAUCACUGAUGAUCUGUUGAAAGAAAAAAUAUGGCUAGUAAUGCCUUAAUUAUCUCACAGAGGUUUUACAUGGAGCAAAAAGACAAUGUAUUUUUAAAUGUACUUUGUUGAAGGUGUGUGUUGUCGAGACAAUACAGCAGUGAAGAGAAGGCAUGCAAAGCUGUCUUGUUGGAGUCUGGCUAAAGAGCACCAAAGCAGCCUGUUGUGGGAUGUCCUCUGGGGGCCACCUGGACUUGCUAUGUUAACAUGGAGGGACUAGGCAGGGGUAUGAAGAAGGAAGCCCAGCAGAGCAGGAGGCAGCAGCAACAAUGAGAGAUUGGUUAUCCAUAUGACUUGGAUCUGUGUCCCCACCCAAAUCUCAUGUUGAAUUGUAAUCCCCAAUGUUGGAGGUGGGGACUGGUGGGAGGUGACUGGAUCAUGGGGGUGGAUUUCUUAUGAAUGGUUUAGUACCAUCCACUUUGUAUUGUCCCCGUGGUAAUGAGUGAGUUCUUAAGAAAUCUGGUCAUUGAAAAAUAUGUGGCACCUCCUCCCUCUCUCUUUUGCUCCUGCCCCGGCUAUAUGAUGCAAUUUGUCUUCAGCCAUGAUUGUAAGUUUCCCGAGGCCUCCCCAGAAGCUGAGCAGAUGCCAGCAUCAUGCUUCCUGUACAGCCUGCCUUCCAUGAGCCAAUUAAACUUCUUUCCUUUACAAAUUACACAGUCUCAGAUAUUUUUCUCUUUUUUUUUUUUGAGAUGAAGUCUGGGUCUGUCGCUCAGGCUGGAGUGCAGUGGUGCGAUCUCAGCUCACUGCAACCUCCACCUCCCGGGUUCAAGCAAUUCUUAGGCCUCAGCCUCCUGAGUAGCUGGGGUUACAGGUACCUGCCACCAUGCCCGGCUAAUUUUUGUAAUUGUAGUACAGAAGGGUUUCACCAUGUUACUCAGGCUGGUCUUGAAC